GACGAACGCUGGCGGCGUGCUUAACACAUGCAAGUCGAACGGAAAGGCCCUGCUUUUGUGGGGUGCUCGAGUGGCGAACGGGUGAGUAACACGUGAGUAACCUGCCCUUGACUUUGGGAUAACUUCAGGAAACUGGGGCUAAUACCGGAUAGAAGCUCUUGCUGCAUGGUGGGGGUUGGUAAGUUUCGGCGGUUGGUGAUGGACUCGCGGCUUAUCAGCUUGUUGGUGGGGUAGUGGCUUACCAAGGCAUGGACGGGUAGCCGGCCUGAGAGGGUGACCGGCCACAUUGGGACUGAGAUAGGGCCCAGACUCCUACGGGAGGCAGCAGUGGGGAAUAGUGCACAAUGGGCGGAAGCCGGAUGCAGCAACGCCGCGUGCGGGAUGACGGCCUUCGGGUUGUAAACCGCUUUCGCCUGUGACGAAGCGUGAGUGACGGUAAUGGGUAAAGAAGCACCGGCUAACUACGUG
rnacentral:rRNA from 1 species